rnacentral:rRNA from 1 species
UACGGAGGGUGCAAGCGUUAAUCGGAAUUACUGGGCGUAAAGGGUGCGUAGGCGGUUAGUUAAGUCUGUUGUGAAAUCCCCGGGCUCAACCUGGGAAUGGCAAUGGAUACUGGCUGGCUAGAGUGUGUCAGAGGAUGGUGGAAUUCCCGGUGUAGCGGUGAAAUGCGUAGAGAUCCGGAGGAACACCGACGGCGUAGGCAGCGCCCUAGACGAGACCUGACGCUCAGGCACGAAAGCGCGGGGAGCGAACAGG